rnacentral:rRNA from 1 species
CAGUCGCCGCGGUAAUACGUAGGGUGCAAGCGUUAAUCGGAUUUACUGGGCGUAAAGCGUGCGUAGGCGGCUUCUUAAGUCGGAUGUGAAAUCCCUGAGCUUAACUUAGGAAUUGCAUUCGAUACUGGGAAGCUAGAGUAUGGGAGAGGAUGGUAGAAUUCCAGGUGUAGCGGUGAAAUGCGUAGAGAUCUGGAGGAAUACCGAUGGCGAAGGCAGCCAUCUGGCCUAAUACUGACGCUGAGGUACGAAAGCAUGGGGAGCAAACAGGAUUAGAUACCCCAGUAGUCCCUGUCUCUUAUAC